rnacentral:misc_RNA from 1 species
GUGUUUGAGCUUUAAAAACCAAUAUAUAAUCUGAUUGGCAUGCAAAGGAGAUAUUGCUGUAUUCGAGAACUUCUUUAUUUUCUGAUGGUUCAAGAUGUUGCCAUAUUUGAAAAUUUAGAUUGGUUUCUUUUCUUAAUUUCUUUGAUUUCUAAAUCCAAGGGGCAGCUAGAUCCUUUGGGGAAAAAAGAUCAUUUGGCCUCAGAUGCCUGUUAUCCCUUGUGGUGAAACCUAUUAUUGUGUACUAAGAGUUUGCAACCUAACUCCAUGCUAAUGUUACAACUUGCAAAUGAUCAUUCUCCACUUGAGUACGAGUAGAUAAAUGGAAAAGAGAGAAUUAAAUGAAAUCAAGGAAAUUAUAGGAUGUUCUUCCUGUAGGUUAUAAUGGAAUCUGUUUGCACUAUGCUUCUGCUAUUUUAGCAGAUUAAUGAUGAUGUGUGAACAAUGAAUGGAAAACUAUCUGGCCUUUUUUAUUAGAUCUAUUGGCAGUGCAUCAACUGUGGAAAACCAACAAUUUGUUAUCAAGAUUUAAGACUGCAAUCAAGCUUUAUAUUUCAAAGCCAAGUUCCUCUUUGUCAAGAAAUUUGGUGCUGUAAAUUAUCAUGCUCCUCUAAGAGAAUUUAAUGCUGUUCUUGGAUAUCUGCAGCAUCAGAUGUGGAGGUUUAUUAAG